GGGGGUCUACUGCUGUACGACGGAAGACCACAAGUGCCCAUGUUUAUAUUCAACAGUUACCCUUGUGGACAAAAUCUUUAUGAUACAGUUGAAUACUCAAACAACACAAUUUUCUCCACCUCAUUUGAUUAAGUGCCGUUCAUAAGUUUUUCAGAUAAUUCAACAGCUUGUUGUUUUGUACAGUUAAUGCAAUCUUCUGACCAA
rnacentral:lncRNA from 1 species